rnacentral:rRNA from 1 species
CAGUAGCCACGGGAAUACAGAGGGUGCGAGCGUUAAUCGGAUUUACUGGGCGUAAAGCGUGCGUAGGCGGCUUCUUAAGUCGGAUGUGAAAUCCCUGAGCUUAACUUAGGAAUUGCAUUCGAUACUGGGAAGCUAGAGUAUGGGAGAGGAUGGUAGAAUUCCAGGUGUAGCGGUGAAAUGCGUAGAGAUCUGGAGGAAUACCGAUGGCGAAGGCAGCCAUCUGGCCUAAUACUGACGCUGAGGUACGAAAGCAUGGGGAGCAAACAGGAUUAGAUACCCGCGUAGUCCCUGUCACUUAUAC